rnacentral:snRNA from 1 species
AUGAUUGGAUAAAGAUGUAGUAUAUAAAAUUAGAACUAGAGAUUAGCAUGGCCCCCGCGCAAGGAUAACACGCAAAUUCGUUAAGUGUUCCAUUUUUGU